rnacentral:lncRNA from 1 species
AGCAUUGCAGUGAAGAAAUAAAAGUUUGUUUUCUUCUAAAGGAAUUCGAUUUGCUUGAAGCCAUUGGCUAAACAAUGCAAACUCCCUAAAUGGAAUGUCUCCUUCAUCAGAUCAAUAAAGCAGAAGUAAGUCUAUUAUAAAGUGUGUUUCUGGAUUCUGGGCCUGCCCAUGCCCUUCACAAACAUCUGAUGUUAUUACACUUUCAUCUUUAGAUUCCCAGACUAGAGCCCUCAGUUUCCUGCUCCUGCUCUCAUGCCUGCUGCUUGAUGAGUGCCUGCCAUGGUGGACCCUUAUGCUUCUGGAACCAUAAACCGAAAUAGACUACUUCUUAAAUAAGUUGCUUUGGUCACACCAUUUCAUCACAGAAAUAAAGAAUAUACCCAUUAACAUU